UUUCCAUGUAUGGUGGUUAGGAUGGUUUCUGGAUGACACUGUUCCACCUCGAUUGUCAGGCAUUGGAUUCUCCAAAGGAGCUGGCAGCCUAGAUCCCUCGCAUGUGCGGUUCACAUUAUAAGUUUGUGCUCCUAUGAGAAUUCAGUGCCAGCAGUCACCUGACAGGAGACGGAGCUUAGGCAGUUCACCUGCUGGGCAACCAGAUUCAUAUCAGGCCAUGGAGCAGGACCCGUCCAUGGCCUGGGAGUUGGGGAUCCCUGUUCUAAAUGACUCCUCCUCUAAGGUAUUUCCAUGACAUUACUUCUUGAACUAAAGAAUUGAGGUUAUGGUGUGUGUAGGAAGUAGGACGAUCAUAAAAUGUCACAAUGAAGAAUGAGCUACCUUGGUUUUGAUAAUAAUGGUUUUUUUCCCUGAGUACUUUAUUGGAUUAUAUUAAAAUGACAGAAUCAUAAAUAUUAAAGUUGGAAAUUAUUUUAGUGAUCAAGUCUUUCCUGAAUGCUUUCUUUUUUGGACAGUCUUCAGUACUAGAGAGAAUUUAUCCUUAAAGUUGAAAUCUUCUUUCUAGAAACUAUCUGUUGUGGUCCUUAGGUUUUACCUCAAAGUAAGACUAACCCUUUAGUAGCCAAAGAACUCUUCAGUAUUUCUAAAGUGCUGUUUUUGAGUGUCCCUUGCCUAGAGAGAGAUUUGCAUUCAUUGAGCUGGUUCUCAUCACAGAGUUUUAAACUUUGUUUGUAAUUGCCCUUUUUUGUGGAUUCUUAUAUUGAUUGAUUUUUGUGCUUCUCUCAUUUCUUAGUUGGGCACUGUUACUGGUAAAUUUUCUCUUGGGUCAUUGUAAAGAACUGAGGAUAACAUUUCAGUGGUGUUGAAAGGGUGAAAUAAUUAUUUUACUUGGAGCACUGUGCUUCUAUUGAUACUACAUAAAAUUGCAUUGGCUGUUUGGCAAGCAUGUCAAGCCUGGUGUACUGUUUGGUUUCAUUGUCCUUAAUUCAUUCUUUUUGGAAUUAAGACAGUUUGCUUUCUUUUCUUUUCUUUUCUUUUUUUUUUUUGAGACAGAGUUUCACUAUUAUUGCCCAAGCUGGAGUGUAGUGACACAGU